GAUGUAGGCGCGAGCGUUUGUCCGGAAUUAUUGGGCGUAAAGGGCUCGUAGGCGGUUUGUCGCGUCGGGAGUGAAAACCUUGGGCUUAACUCAGGGCUUGCUUUCGAUACGGGCAGACUAGAGGUAUGCAGGGGAGAACGGAAUUCCUGGUGUAGCGGUGAAAAUGCGCAGAUAUCAGGAGGAACACCGGUGGCGAAGGCGGUUCUCUGGGCAUGAUCUGACGCUGAGGAGCGAAAGUGUGGGAGGCGAACAGG
rnacentral:rRNA from 1 species